UGAAGUCGGAAUCGCUAGUAAUCGCAGGUCAGCAUACUGCGGUGAAUACGUUCCCGGGCCUUGUACACACCGCCCGUCACACCAUGGGAGUGGGAUGCAAAAGAAGUAGCUAGUUUAACCUUCGGGAGAACGGUUACCACUUUGUGUUUCAUGACUGGGGUGAAGUCGUAACAAGGUAACCCUAGGGGAACCUGGGGU
rnacentral:rRNA from 1 species